rnacentral:lncRNA from 1 species
GCUUUGCAUAGUUUAAAAUAAGUACUUCAUAUUUCGUAUAAAAGAUUGAAUAAAUUUUUAUUUGAAAAUGAUUUGAAAAGAGAAAAUAUUGAUACUAUCUUAUUUAUCAAAAGAAAGUUGAUUGAUAUCUUAAUCAUACAAAUUUAUGUUAAUUAUAUAAUAUUUGAUGCUAUAAAUAAAAUCUUAUACUAAUCUUUUGCUAAGUUAAUAUAGAGGGAGUUCGAGAUGAG